UCUUAUCUUACCAUCUCCUUAUCCUGAUCCCAAAGCUUUAUCUCUGAAACAUCUAAUUCAAUAGUUGGUAACUAAAUCCAAAAUUGAAAAACUUAAGCCCAAACAAUUCCCUGGCUUCAAAAGUUUUUUAUCCACCAAACACUCUCUUCGUGUGUUGUCUAGUAUUUAUCAUGAACAAGAACCUAGUUGUUUCACAUAGGCUAUGUCUAGCUCUGAAUGGCGGGAUGCUAUGGAAGGUUAGAACGAGUUGUUGGUUGAUGGGUGAUGAUGUGCAGUCGUGGUCUUAGAAUUCUUUGGACUCAAUAAAUUUAAAUCCGGUGUAACAUGACUCAAUGAUUUUAUUUCUAGCAAUUGUUUUCAUUUUAUUAUUAUGUAGAUAUGUGAUUUAGAACA